AGGGGUCAAUAUCUACUUAAUUUUAAUUAGGUUUGGGUUAAUGCGGGAUGCUGAUUAGUUAUUUUUGGGCUAAGAAAGAGUGAUGAAAUCUUCUUCUUAUUUUCUUAAUGGGUAUUUCUCUUAAGUUGAUUUGAGAUGAAUAUGCAUAACCAAUUUCAAAUAAGGGGUUCUAUGCAACUAAAUUAGAUGCAUAAAAUUAAUUAAACUUGAAAGCUUACCUUAUCUCCAGCGAUCACCAAAAGUAAAUCUAGGAUGAUGAUUGCUUCUAAACAAUUAAGUUUCUAUUCUUGUCAUGCAAUUUUUUAUUAGAU
rnacentral:lncRNA from 1 species